AUGAGUGGAUUCUCUUCCAUUCUCCCUUUCUCUUUGGAGGAGAGCUGAUUGCCAGCAAGGGGUGGGGGGUCAUGGAAGAAGGGUGGGUAGCUGGGAUUCACUGUAGGGACACAAGGAAAACCUGAGACUACCAGCCUUCCUUUUGUUUGUAGAGUUGGUGUGAGCUCCUUUGGACUGAGAUGCACACAGGAAAUGGACUGGCCAGGUGUGUCUGUGGGGGCCUGACUCAGGAGGGGAGAUCUGUCAGAAUGUGUGCCUAUCCCAUGGCUGGGGGCCUGGGAGGAACCAAGGGAGAGGCGGGAGCUAUGAGCGCGGGCGCUCUUCCCGCUUCCUGAUGGGCAAGCACUCUUUCCGGCCACACUCCCACCUCAGGGCUCCACCUAUCACAGACAGACUCUGAGCUAGUUGGAUUUUCUCUCCUCUAAACUCUUUCUUGUCAGCAUCAGUGAGUCAAACGUAGCCAGUGCCCGGACAGGAAGACCCUGGAGCACUCUCCUUGGUCUGCCUAUCUUCAGGGGAGACACGGGAAAAUUCCCUCUGUGCAGAGAUGACCCGCAAGGUUCAUCUGAAAUGACCACUGGAGGCGAGCUUUCCCGAUGGCAUGCUCACUGGCAGAGUGCAGGAGAUGCCUGAGGUAAAUCAGUGAGGUCCCGGGGUCACAUCCACCCUGCUCACAGGUGGUCUUGGAUGAAGCCAGCUUUUCAUCUUUACACAGCUCGGAAGACCUUGGCUUUGCCGAAGGAGGCACAGACAGCAAGCCCGUGGUGGCACAGCUCAUCACUGUCAGCAGCUGUGAUGAGACCUGCCUUAGGCCUGGCUCUCAUAAUGCUUCCACCACAACCAUGGUGCCUUUACGAGCCCACACCCCUUCAGCUCACUAUCUUCAAAUCCGUAGAAGAAAUUCCACAGAAGGUUCUGGAGACCUGUCGCUGUGUCCUCACUGACAUGUGGCGUCUCCGUGGCUUCAGCUGUCUUAGGUCCCACCCAUCAAUGUGUCUCUCCUCAUCCUCUCUUAAUCCAGUCAGCCCCUGACAUAAGAGGUCGGCGCCUACUACAACUUUCUGAUGACGUGUUCAGAGUUCCCAGUGUUCAGAGGAAGUUGCCCUUUGAACCUUUUGCUCUUUUCUGGCCGAUCUCACUUGCUCACAGUGCAGCUAGCUCCCAGAGGGCCAUACCGUCCUUAGAGCAGCCAGAGCUCCAGGUCAGGGGCAUCAAGAACAUUUGGAUUUAUAAUGUCUGUGAUGCAUUUUCCCCAUCUUAAAUGGAGGGGUAUUGGCAUCCCAUCCCUUGCAUAGGCUUCUUCUCCUCUGGGAUUUAGUCCCCUCCCUUAAUUCUCAACACCACCAGCGGAUGUCAGUCAUAGCAUUGGGGGCGGGGCUCUCCUCCAUGCAGGCUUCUUUCCUGUUCUCCCCCCUCCCCCAGAGAUAACCCUCUUAGGAACAGAGCUCAUGUCUUCUUUACUUGUCCACGCUUCUCUAGAACCUAUCCCGUGACCACGAACCUGACACCUAGGCACCCCGAUAAACAUUUCUUCACGGGCGUGCUUCCUGUGUAGACAGUAAGACUUGAUGCCUUAGACAAGGCCCACUUCUGUCUAAAUGACAUCUCGUGGACAGUUUAUGCUGCGGGCUGAGCAUUCCUGAGUAUCUGGAAACCCAAAAUGCCCCGCAUCGCACCACAGAUGGAAAAUUUCAUACUGAGGAACUUGGUUUUGUGAAUAGCGUUAUUGAACAUAUUGUGUGUAAAUAGCUUCAGGCUGUGUGUGUAAGGUGCCUUUGACAUGGUACGGGGUUGCUGCUCAGUCUCAGCUCCACACCCAAGAUAGCGCACCGUGCUUGUGUGUAAACAAACUGAAAUAGGAACCACUUCCGGCCCCAGGGACGCAAAUGUUGGUCAAGUCGGUUCCCAACAACCACGCUUCAGCUGACGGGCAGAGAGCAGGAGGCAGCCGAGUCGCACACAGCUCCUGGUUGUGUCAGCAGGGCAGAUGGACACUCAGCUGGUGUGCUUCUUGCUUGACUGCCGUGGUUUGGGGCCCUGAUGAGCGUGCUGUGCUCACAGGGGUAGGUGUGGAUGGGGGAUUUUGGUGCCAGCACAUGCCACUCUAAACUCAGCAGAGUAUAUGUGCAAAUUGACCCCCAGACUGGCCCCCCAAGCCUGUGCAGGGAGUCUGGAGGCUGCAGGGAACUCUGGCAGGUGCCGAGUGGGUAAGCGAACAGAGGGAAAUGUCACAGCGACAGGAGUGACUAUUUGACCAUUGUCCUCUCUGCCCUGGCUUCUUCCCAACCCACGGGUGUCCUUUGUAACUCAUGCUGGGUUCAGAAAUCCUGGAACGUCCUUUGUGUCCAUUUACAUUCCAUCAGCAUGCUGGCUGGCCGCUGUGCCCUCCCUCCCUGUGAGUAAGCCCAGAGAGCUGUUGGCACCCUGCGAUUGUGCCUGUGUCUUUAACCCUCAUUAACAGGGCUGGCUCACUACAGUUGAACCUUCCUCUCCCUGCCUCUCUCUCCAGCUCCUGUCGUCCACCCCCUCCACUCAUGCCUCACGGUGGACUUUGUGACUUCUUACAGUACGGCUUCAAGGAGAGGACACAGCGUGAUUUAUUUGAGUAAAUGAACCUCUGAGUCGCUGAGGGAAAGAGGAAGCCAACGUGGAAAUCCUGUCAACAUCAGACUGUCUAUAUUCCCAAGAAGAGAAAUCAGAUCCAUGAAGGAGGCCACGUGGUCCACAGAGAUGAGGAAAUGCAGGAGCAGAGAAGUCUGGUCAGUUGGCUCUGGAGCCUCAAAACUCUGGAUGAGCGUUCCUGCACUGACUUCUGUGGCUGGUGGCUUGCAGCCGGGGUGGUUUUCCGUGGUCAUGGUGGCUGCUCUGUCCUACAGUGGGAGGGGCAGGUCCUUUCCCCAGUGGAAAGGGAACCAGCCCAAAUGUGCUCUGUGACCAGGGGAGAGGUCUGGACUGUGUGCACCCUGCUCCUGGGCAUGUAGAUUCUAGGCUGACUUCAUUAGCAGGCUGCAUUUUAUCCACACGAGGCCUUCUGCCAGAUAAAGGCUGCAGAACCCCUGGGUACCAAAGGAAGCUUGGGCUGAAGUGGAGAAAAGAAAGGCUGGGCUCAGGGCACAGAUAACUUUGUUGGUAAAGGGCUGAGAAAUGAAUGAACGAGGACUCAGUUUGAUUCCGGAACCCACCUAAAAAGCUGGGCAUGAGCUGGGCGGUGGUGGCAUGCACCUUUAAUCCCAGUACUCGGGAGGCAGAGCUAGGUGGAUCUCUGUGGGUUCGAGGCCAGCCUGGUCUAUAGAGUGAGAUCCAGGACAGGCACCAAAACUACACAGAGAAGCCCUGUCUCGAAAAACCAACCAACCAACCAACCAACCAAACAAACAAACAAACAAACAAAAACUGGGCAUGGUGAUACAUACUUGGGAUCCCAGCACUGUUACUGCAGAGGCAGGAGAAUCCCUGGGUUCACUGGCUAGCCAGUCUAGCCUGUUACCAAGCUCCAGGCCAGUGGUAGACCUUGCCUCAAAACAAACAAACAAACAAACAAAAGCAAAAACAAGGUACAUGACACCUGAGGUUGACCUCUGGCCUCCACACCCAUUUCACCAUACAUAGGUAGGAAUGGGGAAGGGAGGGAGAGGAGAGAGAGAGAGGGAGAGAGAGAGAGAGAGAGAAACAGGGACCAUCAUUUAAGAAGCCCUGACCUUAGCUGACCUUGACUGACCUUGGCUGACCUACCCACUUUGCUGAGCCUGUUUUCUCCCAGGUAAUGUAGGAGGCGAAGUGGGAUGUGUUCGUGGGGUGGGGGAUGGGACGUGCGGAUGGUGGAUUGGGAUGCAGGGGGGUAGUUUGGCCACUCUGAAUUCUUUCCACCACUUUAAACCGGUGUCAGGAUCUAGUCCAGCCUGCUGCUGCAGAGGAUGACCUCCUUCGGAAGGGAGAGAGUUGCUGAGGGGCCGCUCCAGUGCAAGACAAAGCCGUGGGAAGGUUUGGCCAGUCCGUUUUCCUGCCUCAGCAGCCAGAUCCACUCCCAAGGCGGCGGAAAGCUUCGGAAGGAAAUUGGAUUGCAAUUUAAUUGAUGGCCUGGAGGAUGUGCUGCGGUCAUUAAGCUGCCCUGGAAAGCCAGCCAUUGUUCUGUACAGCACGACAGAGCUCUGCUUGGAUGACACCACACGUGUAUGGACGUGCAUGUGUGCCCAGUCUCUUCCUCACUGGGCCCACUGUGAGCAGGAGUGUGCCUCCGCUGCCAGAGGGACCCCAGUGACCACCAUCACAUCACAUGCUUUCUGGGAGGAUCUUAAAGCCAGCAGCCCCCCAGCUCUGCCUCUGGUCUCUCAUUCCUCUCCAGCCCCCAAACCUGCAGCCUGGGAACGCCCUCUCCUCGGACCUUGCCAUAGUCACCUAAGUCCCUGCAUGGUCUCUACCACCUGCGCAGUCUCCACCAGACUCCUGAUUCUGUCAGCUCCUGGGAAGCUCCACUGUGAGCUUCCAGAUGCUUCCUCUGGGUCUUGGAAAGCUCCCUGGUCAGAGUUCUGACAAGUCUCACAGCCAAAAGAAAAUACCCCCAGCUCCGUUGAAAUCUCUGAUUCCCGAGCCAUUUCCAUAAAGAUGUUCCUUCUGUUCUGUUCUCUUUAUUCAUGGCUCACUUUUUUUUUUUAACGUAUUAUAAAAUAGCAUUUCCCAAAUUUCCAGUGUUAUCCAGAUCUGGCUGAAACCUUUAGCCUGGAUUUCAAGUUUCUGAAGGGAAGGUCUUGCAGUCAGCAGUGGCUGGGUAAGAGAAUGCAAGGCUCAGCUUCCUCAUCUGUGAAAUGGGUGUGUGUGGGACACUUCACGGAGUGGUUGAGAAUUAAAAGGGCAGAGCCCUGUCCAGAGCAGGAGCAUGGGGACCCCCAGGCAGCACUGACUGCAGUGACAGAGAUUCCCACGUGACAUGUUCUCUGCUCUCAGGACCUUUUUCUCACCGCCAGCCAUGAGUUGGGUUGAUCUAAAGUCAAAUCACUUUGGAAGAGAGAUUCUCUCUUCCUAGUGCAUCUAUAGAACCUCAAAUUCAUUCAUUCACUCAUCCAUCCAUCCAUCCACCCACCCAUCCACCCAUCCACCCAUCCACCCAUCCAUCCAUCCAUCCAUCCAUCCAUCCAUCCACCCACCCACCCACCCAUCCAUCCAUCCAUCCAUCCAUCCAUCCAUCCAUCCAUCCAUCGCUUUCUUCUUUUGAUUAGUUUCCAGUUCAGCUCCUGUAUCUGACACUAAGCUUAGAAGAAGCCAGACAAGGGCCAAAACUCAGCCUUGGUGACCUUGGUACCUGCCCUGGGAUGAUAGGGAUGGAAAUGUCUGUGAUUGCUGCAGGCUCUCUCUGUCUCUGUCUCUGUCAUCUCUGAGUCUUGGUUUCUUUCUCUCUCUCUCCCUGCCCCUCAGUCUCUCUCCCUCCUCCCAACGCUCCUCUCUCUGUGUGUAUGUGUCUUUAUUUUAGGAGCUUCUUCCCUCCCUGACUGGGAGCCCCUUCCAGGCCUCAGACCAGGGGGAGGGAGCCUGUUUGCAGAGAAGGGAGAGGCCUUGUGAAGCCUAGAGUGGACCCCCUCCCCUCCAUCCCUGGUCCCUGUAAUCAGACGUUCUAUCAGCUCCUGGGACAGAAAAGACACCCGGACCACAUGCAGCCAACUCUAUGCAGCCCAGCCCUCAAGAAGACAGAGUGACCUGGCUCAGCUACAUGCAGGACUCAGAAUUCCAAGCGCCCUGGGCACACUCGUGAAAAGUACGAGGGUUCAAGUGAACUCUGCAGAUUACAGCUCAUGGAUGGAAUCUGGCCCUCUGACUGUUUGUAUAAAUAAAACUUUAUUGGGACAUUGUGUGCUUUUCCUUUUAGAUGCUGUCUAUGGCUACCUUCCUGUUUCCUCAGCAGUAUCAGGCAGCCUAAACUAUUUACUUCUUGACCAUUUAAAGGAACAUCUUGCCAACCUCUGACAUAUGAAAAUGGCUGUUUUAUUUUAUUUAGUUAAAAAAUUUUAAAGGGAAAAUACCGUCAAUUUCACAUGGCUGGACCUAAUUUCCCACUUCUCAGAGAGAUCAAAUGACGGGCCCAGGGCUGUACAGCUGGAGAACAGAAGGAUGAGGACACCAGCAUAGAGACUUCGCUGAAGCCAA